ACGGAAGGCAGCAGUGGGGAAUAUUGCGCAAUGGGCGGAAGCCUGACGCAGCGACGCCGCGUGGGGGAUGACGGCCUUCGGGUUGUAAACCUCUUUCGACUUCGACGAAGCCUUCGGGUGACGGUAGGGGUGGAAGAAGCACCGGCCAACUACGUGCCAGCAGCCGCGGUAACACGUAGGGUGCGAGCGUUGUCCGGAAUUAUUGGGCGUAAAGAGCUCGUAGGCGGUGUGUCGCGUCGGCCGUGAAAACCUGCAGCUUAACUGUGGGCUUGCGGUCGAUACGGGCAUCACUGGAGUUCGGCAGGGGAGACUGGAAUUCCUGGUGUAGCGGUGAAAUGCGCAGAUAUCAGGAGGAACACCGGUGGCGAAGGCGGGUCUCUGGGCCGAUACUGACGCUGAGGAGCGAAAGCGUGGGGAGCGAACAGGAUUAGAUACCCUGGUA
rnacentral:rRNA from 1 species